AAGAUACUCCCUCCGUCCGGAAAUACUUGUCAUCAAAAUGAAUAAAAGGGGAUGUAUCUAGAUGUAUUUUAGUUCUAGAUACAUCCCUUUUUGUCCAUUUUGAUGACAAGUAUUUUCAGACGGAGGGAGUAUAAG
rnacentral:pre_miRNA from 1 species